GACAGGGCUUGGAACAUGUCCUGGGUCCAAGGUAAAACCUCUCCUGGCCUUUGGAAUGUGUCCAGACUUGCUGGCUCCUUGCUUCUAGCACUCCCGUUAUCUCAAGUAGCCAUAUGUUUCAAAGAAAAAUGCUAAACUGUCACAGCUGUAGCUCAUUCACUUGAUACACCACUUCCCACCUAGCAUGUCCAGUUCAUAUUGCUGGAAGGGCAGAUUUACAUGCCUUCUGUUUUAUAGUACUAAUGUAGCAGGACCAGUCACAGACAAAACCUCUUGGACACUGGUUUUAGGAAGGAAGAGGCUUCAAUCAGCUGGGAGCAUAGGUAGACUCAUGUCUCAAGAUCCAAGCUUCCCAAAGUAAAGAUUCAUGUCCCUUUUAUAAGGGCUUACAACUCUAAGGGGUCCAUGUGAAACGGUCGUGAUACAUUGCACAAGUGGGGGCUAUGUGAUUGAGGGCUGCAUGCAUCAGUGAUGGGGGCUAGCAGAACAGAACAGAAAGUUUCACAAGUCUUCCUCAAACAAUGUCUGGAAUCUAUAGAUAACACAAGCGGUUAGGUCAGGAGUUGAUCUUUAACUACCAGGCCUGGUUCUUGGUGCCAAGCCGUCUGGCUAUUGAUCUCACUUCUGCUACUUUUUAACUUUUUGCUGCCUUUUUGAAACAGGAGACAAUGGGAGAGGUGGUCUCCUUCCUUACUAGUUAGGGAAAACAUUCCUCAGUCAGAUACAAUACCCAUUUUCCAUAAGACAUUUAGGUAAAAGAGACAUGAGUACUUUACAUAAAGCCUAUUUAAACAUUCCAACCUUCAUAAUCAUAUCAGCCCUUACAUUUUUAUGUUCUGGUCCCAGGAAACUUUUUCUUUUCCACUCCCAGACCAUUUCACCCUCUCUGGUAAAAAAGGAUUUGGGUUCUCAGCAGCGACUUGAGCUAAGGGACCCAGGCUCUUUUGUCAAUCUUGACUAAUUUGCCUCAACAUUUUCCCAGGCAAUUGUUAAUCAGCUUUCUCAUUGUAACCUUUGCCUUCUGAUUGAAGAAAUUUCUCCAAUCUGGGGCAAAUACCGAAAACUAGUUUGGGGAUUUUUAAUUUUGAAGGACCAGCAGGUUCUCCCUUUGGUCUACCCAACCUUCAAUAGUGUUGUAUUAAAACCUUUGUGGUGUAUAUAUAUAUUUCAAUACCUUUUGGGGUACAAGUGGUUUUUGGUCUCUAAGAAGCUCCAAACUUUCCCUCAUUUUCCUUUCUUCUUCUAAGCCAUCCAAAGUCUUUCAACCUGCCACCCAAUUCCAAAGUUUCUUUCAUAUUUUCAGGUAUUUUUAUAGCAAUGCCCCACUCCUUGGUAUCAAUUUUCUCUGCUAGGCUGUUCUUACAUUUCUAUAAAUAUCAAAGGCUGGGUAAUUUAUAAAGCAAAGGUGUUUAAUUGGCUCAUGGUUCUGUAGGCUUUAUAGGAAGCAUGGUGCUGGCAUCUGUUCAGCUUCUAGGGAGGCCUCAGGAAGCUUGGAAUCAUGGCAGAAGCUGCAGAGGGAGCAAGUGUCACGCACAGUGACAGCAGGAGCCAUAGAGAGAGGGGGAGGAGGUGCCACACCCUUUUUAAACAACCAGAUCUUGUGAAAACUCACCAUUGCGAGUACAGCACCAAGGGGAUGGCAUUAAACUACUCAUCAGGUAUUCGUUCUCAUGAUCCAAUCACCUCCUACCAGACCCACCUCCAACAUGGGAGAUUACAAUUCAAUAUGAAGCUUAGAGGAAACAACAUAAAAACUACAUCAACAUCUUAUUUUAUACACCCUGUAUGUAGAAUUUUUUUCUCUUAUAUCUACUAGUUUUAAUCACAUAUAUUAACUACUAUUCUCUUAGUAACCCUCAUUUCUGUUGAAAAACCUAGGAUUACUUAAUGCUGGGAACAAGCCCUAAGCCUGUCAUAAACAGGCCUUAAAGAAACUGGCCAUAAACAGGAUUUCUGCAGCAAUGCGACAUGCUCGUGAUAGCUGUGAUGCACAUGGCUAGAAGUUGUUGGUUUACUGGAGCACGGCAAGGAACGCCUGGCCACCUAAAGUGGGAAACUGCUCAAACCACAAACAAUAGCAGGAGCAGGCUGUGCCUUAACAACAUGUUUUUGCUGCUGAUAAUCAGCCAGAACCUGUUUCUCUACUCCUUGCUAAGAAUGCUUUGUUUCCCGUAAGGAAUGCUUUUAGCUAAUCUAUAACCUAUAGAAACAAUGCUUAUCACUGGCUUGCUGUCAAUAAAUAUGUGGGUCAGACUCUGUUUGUGGCUCUCAGUUCUGAAGGCCGUCAGCCCCCUGAUCCCACUUUGUACUCUAUUUCUGUGUCUUUGUCUUCAAUUCCUUAGCACCGCUGGGUUGGGGUCCCCAUGACUGAGGUGGUCUUGGUAACUUAACAUACUGUUGUGGCUUCUUCUCUCCAGUAGUUCAGCAAGUGGGAGGGAGCAGCACCCAGUGGAUUUUUUGCUUCCAUAGUUUGGUGAACAGGAGGGAGUGUUACAGCUCUUUUACUUGCACCAUCUGCAGCUCAGUGAGCCAGCCAGGUGUGUCACAGCUCUUUUGCUCCUGUAAUUCAGUGAGCAGGAGGGAGUGGCACCCUAUGGCUUCUUCUCACCUGUUGUUUUGCAAGCAGGAGGGAGGGUUAUAGCUCUUUUUUUACUCCUGCUCCCUACAGCUUAGCAAGUUCUGGGUUCCAAGAAGAAUAAGGUAUGCAGACACUGGAGAGCAAGUAAGGCAGAGAAGAAUUUUAUUGAGCUACAGAAGGAAAGGUCUCAGCUGUGAGACGUGACCAAUAAAGCAGGUAGCUGUUUAUGAGGCUGAGUCUGUGGUUUUUAUGGGCUUAGAAUGGGGGAAUGCAUGCAGAUUGGUCCAUAGGUGGGCUUGGAGAGAGCACCAUUUGAUUGGUUAAAAGGCAUCAUCCAGAAGUAACCAAUUGAGAGAAAGUGGGUAAGAUGGGGACAGAAGUUUUCACUCCAGUCGUGGACUCUAUCCAGAACUAGCUGCUCAGUCCUCAGGUUGAAGGUCGAGCCCUCCCAGCGAUCCAUCCCUGUCUGCCUAGGAAUUUGUCUGUCUCCUGUUGCUGUCAAUAACAUGACUUUAAAAAUUUAAUUACUGAAGAGAAUUUAAAGACUAGUUUUAUUUAACAAAGAUCAUUGAAGUCACAUGAAAUAAUGGCAUUUGAACUAGCUUCUAUUUUCCUGAGAAAAUAUUUCAUCUAAGCACUUAUUUUUCUUUAAGCCAAUUGAUUAGAGCUCUUUCAUAUAAUGCGGUAGUGAACUAUAUCUACAUGACACAUACAAACAUAUAGACAUGGCCAGGCGUGGUGGCUCAUGCCUGUAACACCAGCACUUUGGGAGCCUGAGAGAGGGAAAUCACCUGACAUCAGGAGUUCAAGGCCAGCCUGACCAACCUGGAGAAACCCCAUCUCUACUAAAAAAAUUCAAAACGAGCCAGGGGUGGAGGGGAAUUUCUGUAACCCCAGCUACACAGGAGGCUGAGCCAGGACAAUCGCUUGUACCCGGCCUACGGAUGCUAUGGUGAGCUGAGAUUGCACCAUAGCACUCCAGCCUGGGCAACAAGAGUGAAACUCCCUCUCAAACAAACAAACGAAAAAAUAGACAUGCAAACACAUGGACAGAAACACAUCUUAUAGAUUUAUAAUGUGUCCAGAAUUGGUGGGUUCUCAGUCUCACUACCUUCGAGAAUGAAGCUGCGGACCCUCGUGGUGAGUGUUACAGUUCUUAAAGAUGGUGUGUCCAGAGUUUAUUUCUUCAGAGGUUCAGAUACGUCCGAAGUUUCUUCUGGUGGGUUCGUGGUCUCGCUGACCUCAGGAGUGAAGCUGCAGACCUUCGCAGGGCGUGUUACAGCUCUUAAAAGUGGCACAUCCAGAGUUGUUCAUUCCUUCUGGUGGGUUCGCGGUCUCACUGGCCUCAAGAGUGAAGUUGCAGACCUUCACAGUGAGUGCUACAGAUCUUAAAGUCACUGCGGACAGUAAGAAUGAGCAGCAGCAGCAAAAUUUAUUGCCAAGAGUCAACAAACAAAGUUUCCACAAAAUGGAAGAGCACUGCAGCCAGUUGACACUGCUGGCUGGAGUGGCCUGCUUUUAUUCCCUUAUCUGGCCCCACCCACAUCCUGCUGAUUGGUCCAUUUUACAGGGAGCUGAUUGGUCCGUUUUGCAGAGUGCUGAUUGGUCCAUUUUGACAGAGUGCUGACUGGUGCAUUUACAGACCUUUAGCAGACACAGAGCGCUGAUUGGUGCAUUUACAAAUCUUUAGCUAGACAGAGAGCACUGAUUGGUGCAUUUACAAUUCUUUAGCUAGACAGAAAAGUUCUCCAAGUCGCAGGGACGCAGAAGCCCAGCCGGCUUUGCCUCUGAAUGGCAUUUGCUGAGGGACUUCCCUUGGCACCUAGCCUGGGCUCUCUCGCCGUCCAGAGUGAGCUCAUCACCGAUCAAGCCCAGCAGGUGCUGGCCAGCGCGCCAAGUGUGGGGCCGCCCAGCCCGCGCCCACCAGGAACCUGCCCCGGGCAGCGAGCACCACGCACAGCGCCGGCUCCCGCUGGAGCCUCUCUCUCCACACCUUCCCACGAGCAGAGGGAGCCGGCUCCGGCCUCGGCCAGCCCCAGAGAAGGGCCCAUACAGCGUAGUGGCGGGCUGAAGGGCUCCUCCAGUGCGGCCAGAGUGGAUGCCGAGGCAGAGAAGGUGCCAAGAGCUAGCGAGGGCUGCUAGCACGUUGUCACCUCUCAAUAAGAUUCUGCAUUUGCAGUUUUCAAAGGUUCUCCCCUACUUUAAAGACUAUUAAUAACUUGAAUACCUGUUACAUACCGUAAACAUCUGUUAGCUCUACCACUGUAAAUUUGCAUUUCCAAAGACAUGAGUUAGGUGAAACUGGUAGAAAAGGUAUGUCUCAAAAGCACAAACUUAGAUCUAAACAAAGAUCAGAUUUAUUAUAGAAAUUUUGGGCCGUUGUCUUCCCCAUAGUUAAAGUGCCUAGUGGUUUAGGUGCAGAGACAGAGAUCCCUUACAAAUGGAAGUUUCCUUUAAAGAAAUAAAUUUCUUUUUACGAAGAGUUUCACAAGACUAAUUUAGUUUGAUAGGUGUUUUUUGUUUUUUGUUUUUUGUUUUUUGUUUUUUUAAACUUAGCUUGUCUCUUAAUUCUAGAGCCAGAUUACUGGCUUUAGGGUAGAGCCCUUUAAGAAACAGGGCCAUUGGGUGCAGUGACUCACAGCUGUCAUCUCAGGACUUUGAAAGGCCGAGGUGGGAGGAUUGCUUGAGGCCAAGAGUUUGAGACUGGCCUGGGCAACAUAAUGAGAUCCCAUUUUACAAAAAUGAAAAUAAAGUAAGCAGUUUUUAGGACUAAACCGUGCUUUUCUUAUCCAAACACAAAGAAUCAAGUAGUCCCCUGUAAUAAUAACUAUUUCUUGUAAACAACACUGCUGUUAGCCAUCUAACACUAUAAAGAGUUGCUCAUAACUUCUAGCCAUCACACACACCAAGGUCUAGUCCUCUCACAGUACCAAGUAAUCUCUGGUAACCCUAAAAGCCAAGGGGACCAAGUAGUGCAGUACAAAAGAGGGCAGUGUUUUAGACCUGAGAGGAACUUUCCCAUGAUUCUUGAAACACCUCAAGGAAAGUAGAAGACCCCCAAACAGGGAGUUAAAAAGGACAAGCGCAUUACAUAAUGAUAAAAGGUUCAACUCAACAAGAAUAUUUAACUGUCUUAAAUACAUGCACACACCUAACAUUAGAGCACCCAGAUUUAUGAAACAAUUACUCCUAAACCUAAGAAAGUAGCCACACAAUAAUAGUGAAGGAGUUCAACACCCCACCCCACUGACGGCAUUAGAUAGAUCAUCAAGGUGGAAAACUAACAAAUUCUGGGCUUAAAUUGGACACUUGACCCACUGGACCUAACAGACAACUACAGAAUACGCCACCCGACGACCACAGAAUAUAGAUUCUUCUUAUCUGCACAUGUAACAUACUCUAAGAUCGACCACAGCCUUGCUUAUAAAGCAAGUCUUUAUUUAAAAAAAAAAGUCAAAUUACUUCUCUUCACUGACAGUGUGGCUCUAUGUCUAGAAAACUCUAAAGGUUUCACCAAAAGACUCCUAGUCCUGAUAAAUGACUUCAGGAAAGUCUCAGAAUACAAAAUCAAUGUAGAAAAAUUGGUAGCAUUUCUAUACACCAAUAAUGUUCAAGCUGAGAACCAAAUCAAGAAUGCAAUUCCAUUUACAGUAGACACACACACAAAUACCUAGGAACAUGUCUAACCAAGGAGGUGAAAGAUUUCUACAAGGCGAACUAACUACAAAACACUGAUGAAAAAAAGCAAACAUGACACAAACCAAUGGAAAAAGCAUUCAUUCCAUGCUCAUGGGUUGGAAGAAUCAAUCUCAUUAAAAUGCCCACUUUGCUUAAAACAUUCUACAGAUUCAGUGCAAUUCCUAUCAAACUACCAAUAUCAUUUUUUCACAGAAUUAGAAAAAAAGAUUCUAAAAUUCAUGUAGAACCAAAAAAGAGCCUGAAUAGCUGAACCAAUCCUAAGCAAAAAGAACAAAGCUGGAAGCAUCCCAUUACUUGACUUGAAACCAUACUACAAGGCUACAGUAACCAAAACAGCAUGGUUAGUGGCUAGUGGUUCAAAACAGACAAUCAGAACACAGUAGAAAACCCAGAAAUAAAGCUGCACAUCUACAACCAACUAGUCUUUUACAAAAUUGACAAAAAGAAACAGCUGGGAAGGGACAGUCUAUUUACUAAAUGGUGUUGGGAUAGCUGGCUAACCAUAUGCAGAAGAAUAAAACUAAAGAUGGACUAAAGCCUUAAAUGUUAAGACCUCAAACUAUAAAAAUCCUAGAAGAAAACUCUUCUGGAUAUUGGGCUAGGCAAAGAAUUUCUGACUAAGACCUCAGAAACAAACACAACAAAACCAACAAAACAAAAAUUGACAAGUGAGACCUAAUUAAACUAAAGAGCCUCUGCACAGCAAAAGAAACUAUCAACAGAGUAAACAGACAACCUACAGAAUGGGAGAAAAUAUUUGCAAUCUAUGCAUCCAACGAAGGACUCAUAUCCAGAAUCUAUAAAUAACUGAACAAGAAAAAACAAAUAACCGGGCUGGGUGUGGUGGCUCACACCUGUAACUCCAGCAAUUUGGGAGGCUGAGGCAGGGGUAUCACUUGAGGUCAGGAGUUUGAAACAUGCCUGACCAACAUGGCAAAACCCUGUCUCUACUAAAAAUACAAACAAUAAAAAAAAUUAGCCAGACAUGAUGGCGUGUGCUGUAGUCCCAGCUACUUCGAGAUUGUGCUACUGCACUCCAGCCUUGGCAACAGAGCAGGACUCUGUCUCAAAAAACAAACAAACAAAACCAAAUAACCCCAUUUAAAAGUGGGCAAAGAACAUGAACAGACAUUUCUCAAAAGAAGAUAUACAAAUGGCCAGCCAACAUAUAAAGAAAUGCUCAUCGCUAAUCAUCAGAAAAAUACAAAUAAAAACCACAAUGAGAUAUCACCUUAUACCAGUCAGAAUGGCUAUAAUAAAGUCAAAAAAUCGCAAGUGUUGGUGAGGUUUCCUUCCUGACUGAAAUAUAUGCGUGUUUACCAUCCACCAUUUGGGUAUGUCUUCAUCCUCCUGCCAGACCCAGCUAAUUGGCUAAUUGCAUCCACCUGCACUGUCAGGGGAGGGAAGAGAGAAUGAUCUCUAACCUACUUUUCUCCCUGGUCUUUUGGUGAGCAGGGGAAGCUUAUACACUAUUGGUGGGAAUGUAAGUUAGUUCAGUUCCUGUGGAAAGCAGUUUGGAAAUUUCUUAAAGAACUAAAAAUAGAACUACCAUUCAGCCCAGCAAUCCCAUUACUGGAUAUAUACCUAAAGGAAAAGAAAUCAUUCCACAAAAGACACCUGUACCCAAUGGUUUAUUGCAGCAAUAUUCACAAUAGGAAAAACAUAGAAUCAACCUAAAUGCCCAUCGACAGUGGACCGGAUAAAGGAAAUGUGGUACAUAUGCACCAUGGAAUACCAUGCAGCCAUAAAAAGAGUGAAAUGAUGUCCUUUGUAGCAACAUGGAUGCAGCUGGAAGCCAUUAUCCUAAGUGAAUUAUCACAGAAAAAGAAAAUCAAAUACUGCAUUUUCUCAAAAGUGGGAGCUAAAUAUUGAGUACACAUGAACAGAAAGAUGGGAACAGUAGACACUGGGGACUUCAAAAGGGGGAAGAGAAGGAGAGGGGAAGGGUUUUAAAAAAUAGGCCGGGCACGGUGGCUCACGCAUGUAAUCCCAGCACUUUGGGAAGCCGAGGCUGGUGGAUCACCUGAGGUCAGGAGUUUGAGACCAGCUUGGCCAACAUGGUGAAACCCCAUCUCUAUUAAAAAUACGAAAAUUAGCCAGGCGUGGUGGUUGGCACCUGUAAUCCCAGCUACUCAGGAAGCUGAGGCAGGAGAAUCGCUUAAACCUGGGAGGCAGAGGUUGCAGUGAGCUGAGAUCGCACCACUGCACUCCAGCCUGGGCAACAGAGCGAGACUCCAUCUCAAAACAAAAACAAAAACAACCCUACAUAUUAGGUACUAUGCUCACUAAUUGGGUGAUAAGGUCAAUAGAAGCCCCACCCUCAGCAUCAUGCAAUAUAUCCGUGUAACUCAUCUGCACAUGUACACCCUGAAUCUAAACUAAAAGUAAAAAAAUGCCCUGGCCACAUAGCAGAUACGCUGACAUUUCUACCAUCAGACCAAGUGUUUUUGCUGUCAUAUAUUGCAUGUUAAAUCACUGCAGUGAAAUUUUGUUUUUGUGUAAAUAUUUGUGCGUGGAAAGGGUCCAUAGCUUUCACUAGCCUCCUAAAUGGGGCUGAUGAUGCUAAAAAGUUGAAAGCCAGUACUUUAGAGUUGAAAAGUUGGAUUCAGUUAUGGAAAUAGAUUGAUUGUUUCCAAAAGGUUUCUCUUAAUAUGUCUGAAUAGUAAUUGCUGUGCUUCUUUGUGUAGUAAAAUUCUUAAUGUGGCCUGAUAGCUGUACAGAACAUUUGAGAUUGGGACUGAAAAUCUUGGACAUAUGUUCCUUGGUAGCCAUUAGAUUAUCUAAUUGCCAUUAGUGUUAAGGUGAGCAUAAAACAAAUUAUUAACUGCCUGGCCCUAAGAAAGUCACCUUAUCUCAUGGGAUCUGUUACCUCAUUUAUAAGACAAUUUUAAAAUGAGGAAUGUGACCUUGAAGAUUUCCAAAACUCCUAGUUUGGAUUCUCUAGAAAAGUGAGAUCAAUGCUGGACUUGGAUGGAGCCCUUUUGUGGCAGAAAUGAACCAGGCUUUGCAUAGAAGGAAAAAGACAGAGUGUCCAAAUGAGGAAGAGGCCCAGAGGAUCCAAGAAGCCUCUUCCUCCAUAAAUGGGAAACACAAGACUGCUGUGGCAAAGAGCCAGCGUAAUCAGGGCAGGAUGAGGGCUACUGGGACCCUUUUUAAUAUCCAGGACUCUGAGGGAACAGAGACUCAACCUCUACUUUUCACCCUGGGACUGACUUGCCAGAACACAAGUUGUCCCUCAGUGAGUGAAUACACCAUCUUGCCUGCGCUAAGAACUUCUCAUUCUCAUAGGAGAAAAUGCUUUGGGUCUUCCCACUUCCCACAUCAGCUGGCUUGGCUAUCUCUGGAAAAUGCUGCUCUCCAAAUGGCUGAAGGUACAAAAAGACAAGAAAAAGGCAAGAAAAAAUAAGUCAUAAAAUCAGGUGGCUUUUAUUUAUCUUCUGACUUCUUUUUAAGAGACUGAAAAACUUGGCUCCUUGGUUUAGAAGCAGUACUGGCUGAAACUUAGUUCUUUGGAAAUACACAAGGUCCCAUUCCAGGAGGCUUUUCAUAUAGAAGAUGAGUGGACACCAACUAGAGACACUGGAGCAAGGGCCCCACAGUGUGACAUUUGGUUGUCUCUUGAUGGGGGAGGGAAAGUGUGCUUUUGUGUACAAGUAUGGGAUAGGUGGAUUCUAUCAUGUGGAGGAUAUUGCUUCUCAGCCUUUUGGCUAAGAUCAAGUGUAGUAUCAUGAGGAGGUUUCUUCAAAAUUGUGGAUUUCCACUUAUGUAACUAGUGGUGCUAUUAUAUGCCCAGCACGAAGGUAUGUAAAUGUUGCAUUAAAACCUUGAGGUGGCCGGGCGCAGUGGCUCACACCUGUAAUCCCAGCACUUUGGGAGGCCAAGACAGGUGGAUCACGAGGUCAGGAGUUCGAGACCAACCAGACCAACAUGAUGAAACCCCAUCCGUACUAAAAAUACAAAAAUUAGCCAGGCAUGGUGGCGGGCGCCUAUAAUCCCACUACUCGGGAGGCUGAGGCAGGAGAAUCACUUAAACAUGGGAGGCGGAGGUUGCAGUGAGCUGAGAUUGUGCCACUGCACUCCAGCCUAGGCAACAGAGUGAGACUCCAUCUCAAAAAAAAAAGAAAACCUUCUUGAGGUGUUUGCCAUCUCACAAUGUAUUUAUUUCAAAGUGAUGC